UACGGAGGGUGCAAGCGUUGUCCGGAUUUAUUGGGUUUAAAGGGUGCGUAGGCGGGUCUUUAAGUCAGUGGUGAAAGCCGACAGCUCAACUGUCGAAAUGCCAUUGAUACUGGGGAUCUUGAGUACAGUAGAGGUAGGCGGAAUUAAUGGUGUAGCGGUGAAAUGCAUAGAUACCAUUAAGAACACCGAUUGCGAAGGCAGCUUACUAUAGUGUAACUGACGCUGAGGCACGAAAGUGUGGGGAUCAAAC
rnacentral:rRNA from 1 species